CUGAAAAAAAAAAUGAUAAUAAAAUAAAUGAAUUCACCUAUCUUUGAAACCUUUCCCAUUUCUGUUGUAUUAUGAAUGCUUUGAACUAAAAUUUUGUUGAAUGACUGUUUUCCUCGUAUUAUAACAUAAAUGACUAGCAUACUAAAAAUUUUUUAGUACAAAACAUCUCAUUUGAUCAAUGAAACAUCAAAUGAAUGUAAGCAACGCUAGAGAAACAUCAAAUGGAACAUCGAUGAAACAUUCAAGGGCCUUUCACUGGAAACCAUUAAAAAAUAUCAUUUCAGAUGUGUUCAAUACAAGAAAAUUAGUUAAUCAAUAAACGGCUAUCUUAUUUAUGGUGCCACCUUCUAUUUAUCAUGGACUAGUGGAGAACCUACUUUAGUACUUUGUAAUAGCAACUAUUACGAACUUCAAAUCACCAACAAAAUAAGUCCCACUAAUUAGACUCAAUCCAAUUGGAAGAUUUGAAAUUAACCAAAUUGAAAUAUAAUGAUGUAGAUGGAGAAGUACAAAUAAACAAUUGAAGUAUGAAGUUUGAAGCAGUGUUAAGAAUAUAGAUUCGAA
rnacentral:misc_RNA from 1 species